UACAGAGGGGGCGAGCGUUGUUCGGAAUUACUGGGCGUAAAGGGCGCGUAGGCGGCCCGCUAAGUCGAACGUGAAAUCCCCAGGCUCAACCUGGGAACUGCGUCCGAUACUGGCAGGCUUGAAUCCGGGAGAGGGAUGUGGAAUUCCAGGUGUAGCGGUGAAAUGCGUAGAUAUCUGGAGGAACACCGGUGGCGAAGGCGGCAUCCUGGACCGGUAUUGACGCUGAGGCGGCGAAAGCUAGGGGAGCAAACGGG
rnacentral:rRNA from 1 species